UGGUUCACCAGUGGCCUCCUUCCCGAGUGGCCUCCUUCCCGAGUGGCCUCCUUCCCGAGUGGCCUCCUUCACCAGUGGCCUCCUUCCCGAGGCAAUUCUCUGCUCUCCCCUGCUAGAGGGGCAUCCUAAGCCAUUCACCCCAUCCGACUUCAGAGUGUACUCUUUGAGUUUGGCAACUCACCACCAGCAUCCAACCAAAUCCAGUGGAUCAACGGCGCGUCAACUUAGUUCCUGGUCAGCUCGUGAGUUGAUUUUAUCACGUCCUACACCGUCCAUAAGAUGGGGGGCCACCUCCCAUUUCAUCACCUCUCAAACACCCCGGGAUGUCGGCAGGCGGAUUCGAACCCGGACGCGCCAGGACGCGACGGGAGCAGAAGCCAGGCCUUAACCUCUGCCAGCCGCCUGCCUUUGUUGAUGUUGUUGAUGUUGUUACAGGGUGGUUAAGCUUCACCAGUGGCCUCCUUCCCGAGGCAAUUCCCUGCUCUCCCCUGCUAGAGGGGCACCCUAAGCCAUUCACCCCAUCCGACUUCAGAGUGUACUCUUUGAGUUUGGCAACUCACCACCAGCAUCCAACCAAAUCUAGCGGAUCAACGGCGCGUCAACUUAGUUCCUGGUCAGCUCGCGAGUUGAUUUUAUCACGUCCUACACCGUCCACAAGAUGGGGGGCCACCUCCCAUUUCAUCACCUCUCAAACACCCCGAGAGGUCGGCAGGCGGAUUUGAACCCGGACGCGCCGGGACGCGACGGGAGCAGAAGCCAGGCCUUAACUUCUGCCAGCCGCCUGCCUGCCGCCUGCCUGCCAGCCGCCUGCCUGUUUGUUGUUGGCAGCAAACAUAGAUCCCAAGGCGUCCCAGGCCUUCUUCGCGUUGGCAGCACCGGUAACCAUCGGCAAAUGAUGAUCCUUGACGUUCUUGAUGAGCAGAUUGAUGACCUUCCGUGAUUGUCGAAUCUGCUCCUCGUUGCAUGGCUCGGCGAGCAGGGAUUGCUCAAGCCCAAGCUCCAUGCACAUCGCGCUAAACCUGAUUUGCCAGGUGGAGUAGUUGUGGAGGUCCAGCAGCUCAUCAAGCUUAUCCUUGACCAUUGUCGAUAAGGGGUAGAAAUAACAAUCGGAUGAUAGCUGUCGGCGCUACUCGGGGCUCAUAACCUAUUGAAGAAUUGGUGACGGUGACGGCUAACGCUGAUUGUUAUUCCGGAAGGAUUGCCGGUGGCGAAGAUAUUUAGCACGAUAAACUGUUACAAGUAAUGUAAAGAGUAUUAUUAGCGUUCGGCAGGACUUGAGGAGAUUCCUAUGAGGAAUACCGAUCGUAGUGAGAUAAACAAAUAAGCGCAGUCACUGCCCUAAAUACCGGCGCUAGCGGAAAACUCGUACAUUCCGCGAUCUAACUGCACGUACAUUCCGCGAUCUCACUGCGCCGUCCUGAUGGUGCCCUAAUGUCUAUCACUUAGCUACCGGAUAUGCAUCGGUAGCCCCAUAAUGUUCCGGGGUAAGUCUUCCCCAUUAGUCUGACGCAGCCCCGGGGUCAAAUCCCCUGGUCGACAACCUCACGAGUUGGGAGAGGACCACUUCCUCAACACAAUGUGCGUGUGUUGGAGCCUUGGGAACGCUUCAGCAUUAAGGACCAGUCACUGCGUCCGACGGAGUUUGGAUCGCUUACCAUUCGAUCUAAUGUCAACGACAAUCUGGCCAUUACAUUCAAAAGGGGGUCUACGUUGACGAGGAGGUGAUGGUAAAGAUUUUGUCCGUCCGUAUCAUUGAUGAUCACGGUAGAGGUAGCAUCGUCUUCCGUGACGGUCAAGUAGAGGUAUUCUUGCAAAAUCAUUUAGUGUUGACCGGUGAACAGGACGUUGAUCUUUACCCCAUUUGCUAUCGAGGUGGAAGUACAGGCACCAUCAGGAGGACGCAGGAUACGAGCUACUGUGACAACAGACAUGGUACAACGUGCACCGCGGUGGAUUCCAAGACGGAGCGUGCAACACUUUGGCAUCGGCGUUACGGACAUCUGGGCUACAGCAACCUCGAGGCGUUGCUGCGCCACAAUAUGGUAAUGGGAUUUGACGUCGACCAGCACAGCUUUCAAAAAGCCAGCAUGUGUGUUUGCGAGACCUGCGUUUUUGCAAAGCAGACACAAGGUCCUUUUCCGCUAACAGGGCACAAGGCAGCUCAGCCACUAGCACUAGUUCUUAUGGAUGUGUGUGGACCAAUGCCUUGAACCUUCGCCUAGUGGUUCGUGUUACGUGACAACUCUGCUUGACGACCAUACCGGUCUUUCAGCUGUUGCGUUUACAGCGACCAAGGAGGAGGUCUAUCAGAAGAUGAUGGUAAUGAUAGCGGAACUGGAGCACGCUUCUGGCAGGCAGGUUAAAGAGGUGCGUACGGAUCGUGGCUGGGAGUCCAUUAAUACUCACACGAAGGGCUUUUUCGCGUCCAGGGGUAUUGUACAUGGAACUACGGUAGGCUACAACCCUGAGCAGAACGGAGCUGCGGAACGUUUGAAUCGCACUCUCCUAGACAAAACCAGGGCUAUGCCUGUCGAGUCAGGUCUACCUAAGUCAUGGUGGGCGGUAGUGUUGGCGACAGCCAAUUAUCUCAGGAAUGUGUCGCCAACUGCUGGGUCAACUGUCACGCCAUAUGAAGCUUUCUUCAACGUCCGUCCUAACAUCAGUCACCUUCGAGUUUUUGGGUGCGUCGCCUACGUCCACGUACCUGACGUCAAACGCGACAAGUUCGAUCCGGUGAGCAGGCGUGGAAUACUUGUCGGAUGCGGGAACGGAGGACAGAUGAAGGACAGUGUUGAGGAAACGGUCCUCUCCCAACUCGUGUGGUUGUCGACCAGGGGAUUUGACCCCGGGUCUGCGCCUGACUAAUGGGGAAGACUUACCCCAGAACCUUAUGGGGCUACCGAUGCAUAUCCGGUAGCUAAGUGAUAGACAUUAGGGCACCGUCUGGACGGCGCAGUGAGAUCGCGGAAUGUACGUGCAGUUAGAUCGCGGAAUGUACGAGUUUUCCGCUAGCGCCGGUAUUUAGGGCGGUGACAGCGCCUAUUAGUUUAUCUCACAACGAUCGGUAUUCCUACCAGGAAUCUCCUCAAGUCCUGCCGAACGCUAACAAUAUUCUUUACAUUACUUGUAACAGUUUAUCGUGCUAAAUAUCUUCGCCACCGGCAAUCCUUCCGGAAUAACAAUCAGCGUUAGCAGUCACCGUCGCCAAUUCUUCAAUAGGUUAUGAGCCCCGCUUAGCGCCGACAGCUAUCGCCCAAAUUGUUAUUUCUAUCCCUCAUCGACAAUGGUUAAGGACAAGCUUGAUGAGUCGCUGGACCUCAACAACUACUCUACCUGGCAAAUUCGGUUUAGCGCGAUGUGCAUGGAGCUUGGGCUUGAGCAAUCCCUGCUCGCCGAGCCGUGCAACGAGGAGCAAAUUCGACAGUCACGGAAGGUCAUCAAUCUGCUCAUCAAGAACGUCAAGGAUCAUCAUUUGCCGAUGGUUACCGGUGCUGCCAACGCGAAGAAGGCCUGGGACGCCUUGGGAUCUAUGUUUGCUGCCAACAACAACGCCCGCAAGGUGUCUCUACGUCAAGAAUUCAGCCGUUUUAAGAUGGUCGACGGCGAACCUCUUCCGAUGUACUUUGCGCGUGCAAGGCAGCUGCAAACAGAUUUAUUGGGAGUCGGCCACGUAGUUAACGACUCCGAGCUGGCGUACACCGUGCUAGUUGGUCUACCCAGUCGGUACAGCGUGGUGACGACUACAUUACUUAUCCCAGGAGGGGUCCUAGACGGCUGGACCCGCCGCCUUGGACUUACAGUUCGUAUGGCGAAGUAUAGUGUGGUAGUGGUGGACGGUGCUAUAAGAUGAUAAAUUGUAGAACUGACAAUGUGAUAAAGCGGCCCAGAAGCCUCCCACUCUGUAACAUUACACAUUACACAUUACUUAUGCGCGACGGCGAUUUGGACAUGGCGAGCGUCACAGCAAAGCUUCUCUCUAUCGAGACGGCUAACGGUGGGUCGGGCAAGCCUACCGAGUUGGCAGCCUUCGCGUCUGUCGGCGGUUCGACGUUCGGCGCUUCUACUUCUGGUUAUGGUAGCCGGGGGCCGGCUAACAACAGCUCGGGACAUAGUCGGAAGCAAGUCAUCUGCUACUACUGUAAUAAACCUGGGCACGUGGUUAAGGACUGCAGGCAGCUUAAGGCGCUGAAGCAGUCGUCAAAUUCUGGCUACAAGGGUGGCUACAGCAACAGUGGUAACGGAGGUAGUGGCAGCGGAGCUAGCGGCAGCAAGCCAGGAUCCGGUGGAUCAGCUAGGGGGCCAGGAGUUCCGCGGCAGGUAGCAUUCGUGGCAUACAACAGCAAUCGUCCGACGGAAUGGUUUCUGGACUCAGCCGCCACUCACCACAUAACGUAUGACCGCUCAGAACUUUUCAACGUGCGGUUGUUGGAGCCGUGGGAGCGCUUCAACAUCAUGGGCAUCAAGGGACAAUCUCUUCGACCGACUGAAGUUGGCACGCUUACGAUUCAGUCUAACGUCAACGAUAAACAGGCCAUCACUUUCAAGAAGGUCUACGUCGACGAGGAGGCCACCGCCAAAAUCAUAUCGGUACGCAUCAUUGAUGAUCGUGGAGGCAGUGUGGUCUUCGGCGGCGGACAGGCGAAAGUAUACGUACAGAACCAGUUGGUGCUGACUGGAAAGCGGGAUGGGGACUUGUAUCCCGUCUGCUACAGCAGUGGAGGUACGGGAGCUCUGAAGAGGACGCAGCGUGAAGACAACAGGAUACCUUCUGGUGGUGAUGCAGUGUGUGCUGCCGUGGGUAUCGGAGCUGAACGUGCAGCACUUUGGCACCGAAGGUAUGGCCACUUGGGAUACAGCAACCUUGAGACGUUGCUGCGUCAUAAUAUGGUAGCUGGAUUUGAUGUUGACCGACACAGCAUACAAUCAGCCAGCACGUGUGUGUGUGAGACUUGUGUCCUUGCUAAACAUACACGUGGUCCUUUUCCGUUAUCUGGGCAUAAGGCAGCGCAGCCUCUCGCGCUCAUUCACAUGGAUGUGUGUGGGCCUAUGCCUGAACCUUCGCCUAGUGGUUCGCGUUACAUGACAACCCUGCUUGACGACCAUACUGGUCUUUCAGCUGUUGCGUUUACAGCGACCAAGGAGGAGGUCUACCAGAAGAUGGUGGUAAUGAUAGCGGAACUGGAGCGCGCUACUGGCAGGCAGGUUAAGGAGGUGCGUACAGAUCGUGGCGGGGAGUUCGUUAAUACUCGCACGAAGGCCUAUUUCGCUUCCAGGGGUAUUCUACACGGAACUACGGUAGGCUACACCCCUGAGCAGAACGGAGCUGCAGAACGUUUAAAUCGCACUCUUUUGGACAAGACUAGGGCUAUGCUAGUUGAGUCUGGACUGCCUAAAUCAUUAUGGGCGGAGGCGUUAGCGACAGCCAACUAUCUUAGGAAUGUGUCACCAACUGCUGGGUCAACCGUCACUCCGUACGAAGCUUUCUUUAACGUUCGUCCGAACAUCAGUCACCUGCGAGUUUUUGGAUGUGUUGCCUACGUCCACGUACCCGACGUCAAGCGCGACAAGUUCGACCCGGUGAGCAGGCGUAGAAUACUUGUCGGAUACGGGAACGGUGGACAGUAUCGUGUACUAUACGAGGACGGCAUUAUUGCCGUAGUUUCUAACGUUCGUUUCGAUGAAUCUAAUGUCGGCCGGCGGCGUAAUGCCGGGGACUCCGAUUAUGAGUCCGAUGCCGACGAGGAGGAGGAGUUUCGCACUAGUUUAUCUGGUGAGGGAUCGCUGCCUAGGGCUGGCGAAGGGACACCAGGUAGCACCGUCGGCGAGGGAUCGCCGCGCUUGGGUGGCGAGGGGGCGCCGGCUGGGGCUGGACCUUCCAGCAGUGCGAAUGGGCAAGGAAUCAAUCAGCCUGAUGUGGAAAUGGCGGGAACUAGGUACCCAGUUAGAGAGCGUAAACACCCUGGCGAAUGGUGGCGAAAUGAACCUGGUCGCACUGUUACUGGUCGCGUUAACGCUGCUUUCUCUACUGAUAUUCCCGAACCGAAUUCUUUUGUGGAAGCCAUUGCGAGUCCACAUGCAGACGACUGGCGGCGUGCGAUGGACGAGGAGAUCGCCGCCCAGAUGGCUAAUAGUACUUGGGAGCUGAAGAAGCCACCUCCUGGUACUCGUUUGUUGCCGUGUCGUUGGGUAUAUAAGGUUAAGUACAGCGAUGACGGCAGCAUGGAGCGCUUUAAGGCGCGUUUAGUUGCCAAGGGUUUUGAGCAACGCGAGGGGAUUGAUUAUGGGGAGUUGUUUGCCCCUACCUCUCGUGGUUCGUCAUUACGAGCUUUAUUAGCAGUUGCCGCAGCGCGGGACAUGACGGUGCAUCAGCUAGAUGUGUCUACUAUGGUGAGCUGAAGGAGGAGUUGUGGAUGGAGCAACCGCCUGGGUAUGCAUCCAGUGACCGGUCGCUUGCGUGCAAGCUGCAGAAAUCUAUUUACGGUUUGAAGCAGGCACCCCGUUGCUGGUAUGAAAAGCUAUCAGCAGAGUUCGCCAAGCUGGGUCUUUAUCCUUCAAAGUCUGAUCCGGCGAUGUUUGUUAAGACGGACGAGCGUGGGGUUCUUAUUGCUUUGGUGCACGUAGAUGAUACAAUUGUUGCGUCGGAAGACCCGGAAAUGGUCCGGGCAAUUAAAGCCGCAAUUGUGAAGGUCUUCAAGGUGCGCGACCUUGGAGAAGCGAAGGUGUUUUGGGGCAUGGAAAUUAGGAGGGAGAAGUCGGGUGAGAUAGUGUUGUCGCAGCAUAGGUAUAUUGCGCAGCUGUUGGAGCGUCAUAGGAUGAUUGACGCCAAGCCGAGGUCUACUCCUUUGCCUCCGGGCUUUAGGUACACUCCUAAGGGGGACGGAGAGGAGCUGCUGGGCAAUCCCACAGAGUAUAGGGCUUUGGUGGGAGAAUUGAACUAUCUGGCGACGAACACGCGGCCUGACAUUUCAUAUGCAUUGAGCGUUUUGUCCUGGCAUAUGGCCGCACCCACGAAGACUGCCAUGAACUUGGCAACCGGCGUUCUGCGUUACCUGGCGGGUACACGCGAACUAGGAUUGCGUUUUGGGGGUGUUGGCGACGUUGCUAUGUCCGGGUACAGUGAUUCGGACUGGGCAGGAGACCCAGUUACGCGGCGUUCUACGUCCGGUUACGUAUUCACUCUUAAUGGGGCUGCGAUUAGCUGGAGCAGCCAACUUCAACGUACUGUGGCGGCUUCGUCGGUGGAGGCUGAGUACCAAGCUACAGCGGCGGCUGUUCGUGAGGCUUUGUGGCUUCGCAAGCUGAUGGUUGAUUUGGGCUUGCCUGAGAGCGCGGUGAAAAUCCAGAUAGACUCCCAGGGGGCGCUUAGCUUGGGAAACAACCCGAUUACGUCUGCUCGGUCGAAGCACAUCGACGUGCAGCAUCACAUAGUGCGUGAGAGGGUGAAUAGCGGUGAGGUGCAGUUGGAAUACUGCCCUGGAUGGUUGCGGAUGUACUAACGAAGGCUCUGGGCGAGGUGAAGUUCAAACGUUGCCGAGAUGCUAUGGGCCUUGUGUGAAGUGUGCAGAUGAACUUGGUACUCGUUGGGAUACGGCCCGAGGGGGCGUGUUGAGGAAACGGUCCUCUCCCAACUCGUGUGGUUGUCGACCAGGGGAUUUGACCCCGGGUCUGCGCCUGACUAAUGAGGAAGACUUACCCCAGAACCUUAUGGGGCUACCGAUGCAUAUCCGGUAGCUAAGUGAUAGACAUUAGGGCACCGUCUGGACGGCGCAGUGAGAUCGCGGAAUGUACGUGCAGUUAGAUCGCGGAAUGUACGAGUUUUCCGCUAGCGCCGGUAUUUAGGGCGGUGACAGCGCCUAUUAGUUUAUCUCACAACGAUCGGUAUUCCUACCAGGAAUCUCCUCAAGUCCUGCCGAACGCUAACAAUAUUCUUUACAUUACUUGUAACAGUUUAUCGUGCUAAAUAUCUUCGCCACCGGCAAUCCUUCCGGAAUAACAAUCAGCGUUAGCAGUCACCGUUGCCAAUUCUUCAAUAGACAGAUGGUUGCGGAUGUGCUCACGAAGACUCUGUUGAAGGGCGGUCCUAUCCCAACAUAGAUAGGUGAUUGUUAGGCGAUGAAUCCGCCGAUAUAGGCGUUGCCUCGGACGUGCCUCGACCUUGCCUCGGCCGUACCUCGACCUUGCCUCCGCGGUACCUUGACCUUGCCUCGGGUCUCUCGGCCGCGUAUCUCGGACGUGUCCUCAGGUCCAGGGAUGGUGGACGACUGUACGAUACUUCCGUUGGUAUCGGUACAUAAGACCAGAGUGGUGCAUGUCUUUCUAUCUCAUCUUCGGAUGGAUCGGUAUUCCUUCAUCGGAAUCUCCUAAAGUCUUCUUGCCGUUCACCACUAACCCACAGACUGUAACCCUUAUAUCGCGACCAGUCUCCUUGCCUUCAUAUUCUUAACAGACUCUGGGCGAGGUGAAAUUCAAACGUUGCUGAGAUGCGAUUAUUGAAGAAUUGGCGACGGUGACAGCUAACGCUAAUUGUUAUUCCGGAAGGAUUGCCGGUGGCGAAGAUAUUUAGCACGAUAAACUUGUUACAAGUAAUGUAAAGAGUAUUGUUAGCGUUCGGCAGGACUUGAGGAGAUUCCUGGUAGGAAUACCGAUCGUUGUGAGAUAAACUAAUAGGCGCAGUCACCGCCCUAAAUACCGGCGCUAGCGGAAAACUCGUACAUUCCGCGAUCUAACUGCACGUACAUUCCGCGAUCUCACUGCGCCGUCCAGACGGUGCCCUAAUGUCUAUCACUUAGCUACCGGAUAUGCAUCGGUAGCCCCAUAAGGUUCUGGGGUAAGUCUUCCCCAUUAGUCAGGCGCAGACCCGGGGUCAAAUCCCCUGGUCGACAACCACACNNNNNNNNNNNNNNNNNNNNNNNNNNNNNNNNNNNNNNNNNNNNNNNNNNNNNNNNNNNNNNNNNNNNNNNNNNNNNNNNNNNNNNNNNNNNNNNNNNNNNNNNNNNNNNNNNNNNNNNNNNNNNNNNNNNNNNNNNNNNNNNNNNNNNNNNNNNNNNNNNNNNNNNNNNNNNNNNNNNNNNNNNNNNNNNNNNNNNNNNNNNNNNNNNNNNNNNNNNNNNNNNNNNNNNNNNNNNNNNNNNNNNNNNNNNNNNNNNNNNNNNNNNNNNNNNNNNNNNNNNNNNNNNNNNNNNNNNNNNNNNNNNNNNNNNNNNNNNNNNNNNNNNNNNNNNNNNNNNNNNNNNNNNNNNNNNNNNNNNNNNNNNNNNNNNNNNNNNNNNNNNNNNNNNNNNNNNNNNNNNNNNNNNNNNNNNNNNNNGGGAGACUUAACCCAGAACUUUAUGGGGCUACCGAUGCAUAUCCGGUAGUUAAUUGGUAGACAUUUGGGGACCGUCAGGACGGCGGAGUGAGAUCGCGGAAUGUACGUGCAGUGAGAUCGUGAUAUGUACGAGUAUUCCGCUAGCGCUGGUAUUUAGGGUGGUGACUGCACUUAUUUCUUUAUCUCACAACGAUCGGUAUUCCUCAAACGGAAUCUCCUAAAGUCCUGCCAAACGCAUAUAUUACUUUUUACAUUACUUGUAACAGUUUAUCGUGUACAGUAUCUUCGCCGCCGGCAUUCCUUCCGGAAUAACAGUCAGCGUCAGCUGUCACCGUCGCCAACAGGGCAAACCAACAAGCAAAGUGUGCGCCCGCUCAUCGCUGAUAAUCGCUGAUAACGUGUCCUACUCUCAAACAAGUCCGACUGUAGUUGCUUGCAGGCAUCCUAUGCCUUCUUCGCGUUAGUUAUGUAAGCUACUAGCGUUGACCGGGGCUCAUAACCCACCAUUCGGCUGGCUGGGGCUGGACCUUCCAGCAGUGCGAGUGUGCAAGGAAAUACACACCCUGAUGUGGAAAUGCUGGGGGCUCAGUAUUCAGUUAAGGAACGCAAACGUCCUGGCGAGUGGUGACGGAGUGGUCCUGGUCGUAGUGCUACAGGCCAAGUCAUUGCUGCAGUAUCUGUAAUGUAAUGUAAUGUAAUGUAAUGUUACAGAGUGGGAGGCUUCUGGGCCGCUUUAUCACAUUGUCAGUUCUACGAUUUAUCAUCUUAUAGCACCGUCCACCACUACCACACUAUACUUCGCCAUACGAACUGUAAGUCCAAGGCGGCGGGUCCAGCCGUCUAGGACCCCUCCUCAUCCAUUCACCCGAACAACCGAAGANNNNNNNNNNNNNNNNNNNNNNNNNNNNNNNNNNNNNNNNNNNNNNNNNNCUCAACAGCGAUGGGCCUUGUGUGAAGCGUGCUGAUGAACCUGGUACUCGUUAAGAUACGGCCCGAGGGGCGUGUUGAGGAAACGGUCCUCUCCCAACUCGUGUGGUUGUCGACCAGGGGAUUUUACCCCGGGUCUGCACCUGACUAUUGGGGAGACUUAACCCAGAACUUUAUGGGGCUACCGAUGCAUAUCCGGUAGUUAAUUGGUAGACAUUUGGGGACCGUCAGGACGGCGGAGUGAGAUCGCGGAAUGUACGUGCAGUGAGAUCGUGAUAUGUACGAGUAUUCCGCUAGCGCUGGUAUUUAGGGUGGUGACUGCACUUAUUUCUUUAUCUCACAACGAUCGGUAUUCCUCAAACGGAAUCUCCUAAAGUCCUGCCAAACGCAUAUAUUACUUUUUACAUUACUUGUAACAGUUUAUCGUGUACAGUAUCUUCGCCGCCGGCAUUCCUUCCGGAAUAACAGUCAGCGUCAGCUGUCACCGUCGCCAACAGGGCAAACCAACAAGCAAAGUGUGCGCCCGCUCAUCGCUGAUAAUCGCUGAUAACGUGUCCUACUCUCAAACAAGUCCGACUGUAGUUGCUUGCAGGCAUCCUAUGCCUUCUUCGCGUUAGUUAUGUAAGCUACUAGCGUUGACCGGGGCUCAUAACCCACCAUUCGGCUGGCUGGGGCUGGACCUUCCAGCAGUGCGAGUGUGCAAGGAAAUACACACCCUGAUGUGGAAAUGCUGGGGGCUCAGUAUUCAGUUAAGGAACGCAAACGUCCUGGCGAGUGGUGACGGAGUGGUCCUGGUCGUAGUGCUACAGGCCAAGUCAUUGCUGCAGUAUCUGUAAUGUAAUGUAAUGUAAUGUAAUGUUACAGAGUGGGAGGCUUCUGGGCCGCUUUAUCACAUUGUCAGUUCUACGAUUUAUCAUCUUAUAGCACCGUCCACCACUACCACACUAUACUUCGCCAUACGAACUGUAAGUCCAAGGCGGCGGGUCCAGCCGUCUAGGACCCCUCCUCAUCCAUUCACCCGAACAACCGAAGAGACGGAGGGUUCGGCAAUCGCCACCAAUCUAGCGUGCGAAUCUGGUCCAUCAACUGCGACCUCAACUCCACAUCUCAGCAGCUAGCCAUAAUCUCGCGCUCCCGAUUAAUUCGGGGGUUUCCCCAGGAAUCGAACCCAGGACCUUAAACCGCGAAUCGCAGUAGUGUCAACCCAGACCAGGUAUCUGCUGGGAUUCAGAGCCUAACUUGUAUGCCGAAGCCAUCUCAGGCCCACAUGCAGACGACUGGCGGCAGUGAGUGCCGCGAGAAUUUUGAAAUGGCUUCAGUGAAAGUAUUACUCAGCAAAAACUCAGCAGGGUUCGGAUCAAUGACAGUCACAGCCACGUUAAUGCUCCUAUCCUCCUAUCCUUCCUGCAUCACCGGAGAUCCUGCAACACUCUAAAGGCCAUAAUAACUUAUUCCCACUUCUUCUGAACCCCUGCGUUGGCUUGCACCACUGGAUGUUCCGGCUUCUUCCGGCAUUCCUCCACCAUCCACAGGUGACAGUGGUGCCUAGCCCACUGUGUUUCCUAAGUCUACCAGAGCUUGGCAGAGGCCCUGACUCAGGUACACCAAUACUUGCCGCUUCGGAGUCAGUCAAUUCCCCUUCACAAAAAUAGUUGCUCUUAUCUUGCAGCAAACACGGUAUCACUGCACCGCCGCCACUGCCUGUCUGUUGAGGCAUGCUACCCCACCUGCCACGUGCGGGCGCCAAGGCCACCUCCACUCAUUCUCUGCACGUUAGGCUGCGGCACUCUGCAACUCCGAGCUAUACGGCCCAUCUGUUGGUAGUUGUAGCAAAUGAUCGCCUGUUGCAAUCCACGCUAUCCAGCGGGGUCUACCGGAUACAGAUAUUUCGUGGCACUCACUGCCGCCAGUCGUCUGCAUGUGGACCUGGGAUGGCUUCAGCAUACAAGUUAGACUCUGAAUCCCAGCAGAUACUGCAGCAAUGACUCGGCCUGUAGCAUUACGACUUCGUUCAUUUCGUAACCACUCGCCAGGACGUUUGCGUUCCUUAACUGAGUACCGAGCCCCCAGCAUUUCCACAUCAGGGUGUGUCUCAUUGCACACUCGCACUGCUGGAAGGUCCAACCCCUGCCAGCGCCCCCUCGCAACCCAAAUGCGGCGGCGAUCCACCGCUGACGGUAUUGCCUGAUGUCCAUUUGCCAGCCCUAGGCAGGGAACCCUCACCAGGCAAACUAGGGCGAAAUCUUCGUUGGCAUCGGACCCAUCGUCAGAAUCCCUGGCAUUAUGCCGCCGGCCGACACUAAAUUCGUCAAAGCGGACAUUGGACAUCACACGAUACUGUCCUCCACUCCUGUAUCCGACCAGGAUCCCUCAGACGCUUACUGUUGUAAGCUACAAACACAACCUGCCUCGAGAAAACUGAUCCCUUGCUAGACCCACCGGGCCCAGUCUUGCUGCGAUAGAAGCAAAUCACCUCUUUGAGAGGAACGCCAGAACUGCUGCUGGCCGCGCCACGAUUCCCAAGACCAGAUCCUGUUGAGGAAACGGUCCAGAUAUUUCUUUAACCCAGAACGAUCGGUAUUCCUCAAACAGAAUCUCCUAAAGUCCUGCCAAACGCAUAAUAUUACUUCUUACAUUAUUUUGUAACUGUUACAGUUUAUCGUGUUCAAUGUCUUCGCCGCCGGCAAUUCUUCCGGAAUAACAAUCAGCGUCAGCCAUCACCGUGGUCAAUUCUCGCCAAUAGGUUAUGAGCCCCGGCUAGCGCCGACAGCUAUCGUCCGAUUGUUAUUUCUAUCCCCUUUCGACAAUGGUCAAGGAUAAGCUUGAUGAACCGCUGGACCUCCACAACUACUCCACGUGGCAAAUCCGGUUUAGCGCGAUGUGCAUGGAGCUUGGGCUUGAGCAGGCUUUGCUCGCCGAACCGUGCAACGAGGAGCAGAUUCGUCAAUUGCGGAAAGUCAUCAACUUGCUUAUCAAGAACGUGAAGGAUCACCAUUUGCCGAUGGUCACCGGUGCCGCAAACGCGAAGAAGGCUUGGGACGCCUUGAACUCGAUGUUCGCUGCCAACAACAACGCCCGCAAGGUGGCUCUACGCCAAGAAUUCAGCCGCUUCAAGAUGGUCGACGGCGAGCCACUUCCGAAGUAUUUCGCGCGUGCGAGGCAGCUGCAAACGGACUUGUUGAUGUUGUUACAGGGUGGUUAAGCUUCACCAGUGGCCUCCUUCCCGAGGCAAUUCCUUGCUCUCCCCUGCUAGAGGGGCACCCUAGGCCAUUCACCCCAUCCGACUUCAGAGUGUACUCUUUGAGUUUGGCAACUCACCACCAGCAUCCAACCAAAUCUAACGGAUCAACGGCGCGUCAACUUAGGGUUUAAAACAGGUCAGCUCGCGAGUUGAUUUUAUCACGUCCUACACCGUCCACAAAAUGGGGGGCAUGUUGAGGAAACGGUCCUCUCCCAACUCGUGUGGUUGUCGACCAGGGGAUUUGACCCCGGGUCUGCGCCUGACUAAUGGGGAAGACUUACCCCAGAACCUUAUGGGGCUACCGAUGCAUAUCCGGUAGCUAAGUGAUAGACAUUAGGGCACCGUCUGGACGGCGCAGUGAGAUCGCGGAAUGUACGUGCAGUUAGAUCGCGGAAUGUACGAGUUUUCCGCUAGCGCCGGUAUUUAGGGCGGUGACUGCGCCUAUUAGUUUAUCUCACAACGAUCGGUAUUCCUACCAGGAAUCUCCUCAAGUCCUGCCGAACGCUAACAAUACUCUUUACAUUACUUGUAACAAUUUAUCGUGCUAAAUAUCUUCGCCACCGGUAAUCCUUCCGAAAUAACAAUCAGCGUUAGCCGUCACCGUCGCCAAUUCUUCAAUAGGUUAUGAGCCCCGAUUAGCGCCGACAGUUAUCGCCCAAUUGUUAUUUCUAUCCCUCAUCGACAAUGGUUAAGGACAAGCUUGAUGAGUCGCUGGAUCUCAACAACUACUCUACCUGGCAAAUUCGAUUUAGCGCGAUGUGCAUGGAGCUUGGGCUUGAGCAAUCCCUGCUCGCCGAGCCGUGCAACGAGGAGCAGAUUCGACAGUCACGGAAGGUCAUCAAUCUGCUCNNNNNNNNNNNNNNNNNNNNNNNNNNNNNNNNNNNNNNNNNNNNNNNNNNNNNNNNNGGCUACAAGGGUGGCUACAGCAACAGUGGUAACGGAGGUAGUGGCAGCGGAGCUAGCGGCAGCAAGCCAGGAUCCGGUGGAUCAGCUAGGAGGCCAGGAGUUCCGCGGCAGGUAGCAUUCGUGGCAUACAACAGCAAUCGUCCGACGGAAUGGUUUCUGGACUCAGCCGCCACUCACCACAUAACGUAUGACCGCUCAGAACUUUCCAACGUGCGGUUAUUGGAGCCAUGGGAGCGCUUCAACAUCAUGGGCAUCAAGGGACAGUCUCUUCGGCCGACUGAAGUUGGCACGCUUACGAUUCGGUCUAACGUCAACGAUAAACAGGCCAUCACUUUCAAGAAGGUCUACGUCGACGAGGAGGCCACCGCCAAAAUCAUAUCGGUACGCAUCAUUGAUGAUCGUGGAGGCAGUGUGGUCUUCGGCGGCGGACAGGCGAAAGUAUACGUACAGAAUCAGUUGGUGCUGACUGGAAAGCGAGAUGGGGACUUGUAUCCCGUCUGCUACAGCAGUGGAGGUACGGGAGCUCUGAAGAGGAUGCAGCGUGAAGACAACAGGAUACCUUCUGGUGGUGAUGCAGUGUAUGCUGCCGUGGGUAUCGGAGCUGAACGUGCAGCACUUUGGCACCGAAGGUAUGGCCACUUGGGAUACAGCAACCUUGAGACGUUGCUGCGUCAUAAUAUGGUAGCUGGAUUUGAUGUUGACCGACACAGCAUACAAUCAGCCAGCACGUGUGUGUGUGAGACUUGCGUCCUUGCUAAACAUACACGUGGUCCUUUUCCGUUAUCUGGGCAUAAGGCAGCGCAGCCUCUCGCGCUCAUUCACAUGGAUGUGUGUGGGCCUAUGCCUGAACCUUCGCCUAGUGGUUCACGUUACGUGACAACCCUGCUUGACGACCAUACUGGUCUUUCAGCUGUUGCGUUUACAGCGACCAAGGAGGAGGUCUACCAGAAGAUGGUGGUAAUGAUAGCGGAACUGGAGCGCGCUACUGGCAGGCAGGUUAAGGAGGUGCGUACAGAUCGUGGCAGGGAGUUCGUUAAUACUCGCACGAAGGCCUAUUUCGCUUCCAGGGGUAUUCUACACGGAACUACGGUAGGCUACACCCCUGAGCAGAACGGAGCUGCAGAACGUUUAAAUCGCACUCUUUUGGACAAGACUAGGGCUAUGCUAGUUGAGUCUGGACUGCCUAAAUCAUUAUGGGCGGAGGCGUUAGCGACAGCCAACUAUCUUAGGACUGUGUCGCCAACUGCUGGGUCAACCGUCACUCCGUACGAAGCUUUCUUUAACGUUCGUCCGAACGUCAGUCACCUGCGAGUCUUUGGAUGCGUUGCCUACGUCCACGUACCCGACGUCAAGCGCGACAAGUUCGACCCGGUGAGCAGGCGUGGAAUACUUGUCGGAUACGGGAACGGUGGACAGUAUCGUGUACUAUACGAGGACGGCAUUAUUGCCGUAGUUUCCAACGUUCGUUUUGAUGAAUCUAACGUCGGCCGGCGGCAUAAUGCCGGGGACUCCGAUUAUGAGUCCGAUGCCGACGAGGAGGAGGAUUUUUGCACUAGUUUGCCUGGUGAGGGAUCGCUGCCUAGGGCUGGCGAAGGGAUACCAGGUAGCACCGUCGGCGAGGGAUCGCCGCACUUGGGUGGCGAGGGGGCGCCGGCUGGGGCUGGACCUUCCAGCAGUGCGAACGGGCAAGGAAUCAAUCAGCCUGAUGUGGAAAUGGCGGGAACUAGGUACCCAGUUAGAGAGCGUAAACGCCCUGGCGAAUGGUGGCGAAACGAACCUGGUCGCACUGUCACUGGUCGCGUUAACGCUGCUUUCUCUGCUGGUAUUCCUGAGCCUAAUUCGUUUGAGGAAGCAAUUGCAAGUCCACAUGCAGACGACUGGCGGCGUGCGAUGGACGAGGAGAUCGCCGCCCAGAUGGCUAACAGUACUUGGGAGCUGAAGAAGCCACCUCCUGGUACUCGUUUGUUGCNNNNNNNNNNNNNNNNNNNNNNNNNNNNNNNNNNNNNNNNNNNNNNNNNNAUAUGGGGAGUUGUUUGCCCCUACCUCUCGUGGUUCGUCAUUGCGUGCUUUAUUAGCAGUUGCCGCAGCCCGGAACAUGACGGUACAUCAACUCGAUGUGUCUACUGCGUUUCUGAAUGGUGAGCUGAAGGAGGAGUUGUGGAUGGAGCAACCGCCUGGGUAUGCAUCCAGUGACCGGUCGCUUGCGUGCAAGCUGCAGAAGUCUAUUUACGGUUUGAAGCAGGCACCCCGUUGCUGGUAUGAAAAGCUAUCAGCAGAGUUCGCCAAGUUGGGUCUUUAUCCUUCGAAGUCUGAUCCGGCGAUGUUCGUUAAGACUGACGAGCGUGGGGUUGUUAUUGCUUUGGUGCACGUAGAUGACACUAUUGUUGCGUCGGAAGACCCGGAAAUGGUCCGGGCAAUUAAAGCCGCAAUUGCAAAGGUCUUCAAGGUGCGCGACCUUGGAGAAGCGAAGGUGUUUUUGGGCAUGGAAAUUAGGAGGGAGAAGUCGGGUGAAAUAGUGUUGUCGCAACAUAGGUAUAUUUCGCAGCUAUUGGAGCGUCAUAAGUUGGUUGACGCCAAGCCGAGGUCUACCCCUUUGCCUCCGGGCUUUAGGUACACUCCUAAGGGGGACGGAGAGGAGCUGCUGGGCAAUCCCACCGAGUAUAGGGCUUUGGUGGGAGAAUUGAACUAUCUAGCGACGAACACGCGGCCUGACAUUUCAUAUGCAUUAAGCGUUUUGUCCCGGCAUAUGGCCGCACCCACGAAGUGUGCCAUGAACUUGGCAACUAGCGUUCUGCGUUACCUGGCGGGGACUCGCGAACUAGGAUUGCGUUUUGGGGGUGUUGGCGACGUUGCUAUGUCCGGGUACAGUGAUUCGGACUGGGCAGGAGACCCAGUUACGCGGCGUUCUACGUCCGGUUACGUAUUCACUCUUAAUGGGGCUGCGAUUAGCUGGAGCAGCCAACUUCAACGUACUGUGGCGGCUUCGUCGGUGGAGGCUGAGUACCAAGCUACAGCGGCGGCUGUUCGUGAGGCUUUGUGGCUUCGCAAGCUGAUGGUUGAUUUGGGCUUGCCUGAGAGCGCGGUGAAAAUCCAGAUAGACUCCCAGGGGGCGCUUAGCUUGGGAAACAACCCGAUUACGUCUGCUCGGUCGAAGCACAUCGACGUGCAGCAUCACAUAGUGCGUGAGAGGGUGAAUAGCGGGGAGGUGCAGUUGGAAUACUGCCCUACGGAGUGGAUGGUUGCGGAUGUGCUAACGAAGGCUCUGGGCGAGGUGAAGUUCAAACGUUGCCGAGAUGCUAUGGGCCUUGUGUGAAGUGUGCAGAUGAACUUGGUACUCGUUGGGAUAUGGCCCGAGGGGGCGUGUUGAGGAAACGGUCCUCUCCCAACUCGUGUGGUUGUCGACCAGGGGAUUUGACCCCGGGUCUGCGCCUGACUAAUGGGGAAGACUUACCCCAGAACCUUAUGGGGCUACCGAUGCAUAUCCGGUAGCUAAGUGAUAGACAUUAGGGCACCGUCUGGACGGCGCAGUGAGAUCGCGGAAUGUACGUGCAGUUAGAUCGCGGAAUGUACGAGUUUUCCGCUAGCGCCGGUAUUUAGGGCGGUGACUGCGCCUAUUAGUUUAUCUCACAACGAUCGGUAUUCCUACCAGGAAUCUCCUCAAGUCCUGCCGAACGCUAACAAUACUCUUUACAUUACUUGUAACAAUUUAUCGUGCUAAAUAUCUUCGCCACCGGUAAUCCUUCCGAAAUAACAAUCAGCGUUAGCCGUCACCGUCGCCAAUUCUUCAAUAGGGGCCACCUCCCAUUUCAUCACCUCUCAAACACCCCGAGAGGUCGGCAGGCGGAUUUAAACCCGGACGCGCCGGGACGCGAUGGGAGCAGAUGCCAG
rnacentral:lncRNA from 1 species